UUUAAGUUCAUUUGAUCCUUUUCGUGCCGGGAAGUGGGUUGUCUUGGUUCGCCGGCGGCCGAUGGAGUGUGCUGCGCGUGGCUUCGGGACGCGAUGCGUUGGCCCACCGACGAGGAGGUGUGGCAAUUGUGGCGCCGUGGCGUAUUGCUCCGUCUCUCAUCAGAGUUCGCAUUGGAGGUAUCACAAGGAAGAGUGCGAGAGACUAGAAGAGCAAAUGCGUCGUGUUGAUCUGCUCAACGAGUUUCCCUUUACAUUCACAGAAGAAGCUACAGUCCAGAUUAGUCAAAAGGAGGUAAGCAGGUGCUCGUUCCUCACCAAAAGGGACUUACAUCAUGCUGGAAUGUGGAUGUUUGAGUGCAAAUGUGGCUCCUCCUCUGUUAGUUUCUCGGCUUAUGAUAGGUUUAGAAAUGAAGGCUGGUGGUAUCUGCCAAGCUCUUCUUGUCCAUGUCGUGGCCCUUUGUCUCCAGUAACAAGCCAGCUAUGUAGUUGGAAGGAUUAUUACGAGUGGAGACAGAUACCUCUUGAUUCUCCUGUUGCUCUACUUCUCCACUGGCCACUAACAAUAUAUCAUGCAAUCCAAGCCAUUGGGAUAGGAAACUUGACUCCCCGAAUAAGUGAUGAACUUCGUAUACAUUAUCUUGGCCUUCAGAAAGAGCUUGGCCAACUCGGAGUCUUUGCUGAGCUGCGAGCGCUCUUCCCUGGUCUGCGCAUUCGCUUACAACUGGUUGGACCUGAUGUUUCACAACAUAUGGAUGGAGAGAUAAUCUCCCUCUGCGGCUAUGCCCCUUGCAUGGAAGAAGACUGUGACUGUAAAUGUUCAAAUGAAAUUCUCAAACCCGGUAACAAAUCAGCUGUGUCGUUACAGCUUUAUCGAGGGUUUUAUCAUGAUCGUUACAGUGACAUAGCAAAGGAUUCACCUCCUCCUCACAUAGUGAUUGCUCCAAACGCAGGCAUCGCAGCAUAUCCGAGCUGGUUGCCAACUAUUGAACUAAUAAAAGAGAUGAAAGUCCCAGCUGUGUUUUCUGAUUACUGUGAAGAAGCUUGUCAUCUUGCGGCUUGUUGCAUUAGAACCAUCACAGGGCAACCUCUCUCGUUACCUGCAUAUGUCUCAUCAAAAUACUGUAUAAAAAGAAUAGAGGGUCGACACAUAUAAUGAAGUUGAAAAAGGACAAGACAUCUUCCUUCUUUUCUCAGAUCUUACAAAUCAAUUUGGAUCCAAAUUGGGUUAAACCCAUUCAGACAACCAAUGAUGGUAGAAGAUAGUUCUCUGUUUAUCCCUUGCUACUCAAACUGCUUCAUCUUCGCAAUCUAAACUCUCCAAAAAAGCAUGGGGAUCGUCUCAUCACUAGUUAGGCGUUGUGGUCUACAUUUUCGGAGGAAAUGAUUAUAAUCUUUACAAUGAUUACGCUUUGUUUGGUAGUUGUGGUUAUUUAUGUGGAUAAGGACAGCAUACCAUCAUUGUAGUCAUUUAAUUCUUA